GACAGAGGCCUCGAGCGUUAGGCGGAAUCACUGGGCUUAAAGCGUGUGUAGGCGGAUCGUUAAGUACCUUGUGAAAUCCCACGGCUCAACCGUGGAACGGCUGGGUAUACUGGCGGUCUUGGGCCAUUCAGGGGCGACUGGAACAAGCGGUGGAGCGGUGAAAUGCGUAGAUAUCGCUUGGAACGCCGAAGGUGAAAACAGGUCGCUGGGGAUGUGCCGACGUGGAGACAGAAAGCCAGGGGAGCAAACGGG
rnacentral:rRNA from 1 species